UAUGUAGGGUGCAAGCGUUGUUCGGAAUUACUAGGUGUAAAGCGCCUGUAGGUGUCCCGAUAAGUUUCGUGUGAAAUCUUUCCGCUUAACGGAAAAACUGCACGAAAUACUGUCGGGAUUGAGUGCGAGAGAGGAAACUGGAAUUCCCGGUGUAGCAGUGAAAUGCGUAGAUAUCGGGAGGAACACCAAUGGCGAAGGCAGGUUUCUGGCUCGUUACUGACACUGAGAGACGAAAGCGUGGGGAG
rnacentral:rRNA from 1 species